GUGAAUCAUCGAAUUUUUGAACGCAAAUUGCACUCUCUGGUAUUCCGGAGAGUAUGCCUGUUUGAGAGUCAGUUAAAUCAAAAUCGUUGUUUUGUUUCCGCUUUGCGUAGUGACGCAUCGGGUUUGGGUCGUCUUACCUUCGGGUAAGUGACCUAAAAUUUUGCAUGAUUUUCUAACGUAUAUAAAUACUUUUACGUACGUUUGCGAUAGCGUAUACUAGCUGCGGUCAUCCUUAUGAUCCG
rnacentral:misc_RNA from 1 species